UACGUAGGCAGCGAGCGUUGUUCGGAGUUACUGGGCGUAAAGGGUGUGUAGGCGGUUCUCUAAGUUUGGUGUGAAAUCUCCCGGCUCAACCGGGAGGGUGCGCCGAAAACUGGAGGGCUAGAGUGCGGGAAGGGAGAGUAGAAUUCCUGGUGUAGCGGUGAAAUGCGUAGAUAUCAGGAGGAACACCGGUGGCGAAGGCGGCUAUCUGGACAGAAACUGACGCUGAGGCGCGAAAGCUAGGGGAGCAAACAGG
rnacentral:rRNA from 1 species